CCAGCUUUUAUGUCUGGUGGUGCCGCGCAAGCGGAUUAAUAGGGAAUACCGUAAGCUCUGGCGGGAUCUGCGAUGAUCCGGGAGCCAGUCGGUAGCUGCGCCCGCAACUGUAGGCGGUAUGUAGCCGGAUCCGAUCAUCUGAUGUCCGAUCAGAUGGGUCACUGCUUCCAGUAAGGGAGUGGGAAGACAGGACCGAGCUGCCAUGAUCCGUGAGCCAGGAAACCUGCUACCGUCGCAAACCGUGCU
rnacentral:ncRNA from 23 species